rnacentral:rRNA from 1 species
GUGGGGAAUAUUGGGCAAUGGGCGCAAGCCUGACCCAGCAACGCCGCGUGAGGGAAGAAGGCUUUCGGGUUGUAAACCUCUGUCCUUGGUGACGAAAAAAAUGACGGUAGCCAAGGAGGAAGCCCCGGCUAACUACGUGCCAGCAGCCGCGGUAAUACGUAGGGGGCGAGCGUUGUCCGGAAUUACUGGGCGUAAAGGGUGCGUAGGUGGCCUUUUAAGUUGGAGGUGAAAUACCCGGGCUUAACUUGGGGGGUGCAUCCAAAACUGGGAGGCUAGAGUGCAGGAGAGGAAAGCGGAAUUCCUAGUGUAGCGGUGAAAUGCGUAGAUAUUAGGAGGAACACCAGUGGCGAAGGCGGCUUUCUGGACUGUAACUGACACUGAGGCACGAAAGCGUGGGGAGCAAACAGGAUUAGAAACCCUAGUAGUCC